CCUACGGGAGGCUGCAGUAGGGAAUAUUGCUCAAUGGGGGAAACCCUGAAGCAGCAACGCCGCGUGGAGGAUGAAGGUUUUCGGAUUGUAAACUCCUUUUGUUAGAGAAGAUAAUGACGGUAUCUAACGAAUAAGCACCGGCUAAAUCCGUGCCAGCAGCCGCGGUAAUACGGAGGGUGCAAGCGUUACUCGGAAUCACUGGGCGUAAAGAGCGCGGAGGCGGGAUAGUAAGUCAGAUGUGAAAUCCUAUGGCUUAACCAUAGAACUGCAUUUGAAACUGUUAUUCUAGAGUGUGGGAGAGGUAGGUGGAAUUCUUGGUGUAGGGGUAAAAUGCGUAGAGAUCAAGAGGAAUACUCAUGGCGAAGGCGACCUGCUAGAAGAUAACUGACGCUGAGGCGCGAAAGCGUGGGGAGCAAACAGGAUUAGAUACCCCUGUAGUC
rnacentral:rRNA from 1 species